CCUACGGGUGACAGCAGUGAGGAAUAUUGGUCAAUGGACGGAAGUCUGAACCAGCCAUGCCGCGUGCAGGAAGACGGCUCUAUGAGUUGUAAACUGCUUUUGUACAAGGGUAAACCUGAAUACGUGUAUUCUGCUGAAAGUACUGUACGAAUAAGGAUCGGCUAACUCCGUGCCAGCAGCCGCGGUAAUACGGAGGAUCCAAGCGUUAUCCGGAUUUAUUGGGCUUAAAGGGUGCGUAGGCGGAUUGAUAAGUUAGAGGUGAAAUGUCCGAGCUUAACUCGGGAACUGCCUCUAAAACUGUUGAUCUAGAGAGUAGGUGCGGUAGGCGGAAUGUAUGGUGUAGCGGUGAAAUGCUUAGAGAUCAUACAGAACACCGAUUGCGAAGGCAGCCUACCAAUCUAUAUCUGACGUUGAGGCACGAAAGCGUGGGGAGCAAACAGGAUUAGAUACCCGAGUAGUC
rnacentral:rRNA from 1 species